rnacentral:other from 1 species
CGGGUGCUGCUUCUCUCGUGACUGGUUACAUUCCAGUGGCCUUAAGCAAAUCCGAGGGAGCUGGCUCUGUCCUGGCCCUGGCCUGGUUACCUGGCGCCCACCUGUAUAUACAGGUCCUCGGGAAUAAAAACCAAAACGGUUACUGCGGGCCCGUC